rnacentral:rRNA from 1 species
GACGAACGCUGGCGGCGUGCUUAACACAUGCAAGUCGAACGGUGAAGGGGUCUGCUUGUGUGGGCCCUGGAUGAGUGGCGAACGCGUGAGUAACACGUGAGUAACCUGCCCCCGUCUUCUGGAUAACCGCAUGAAAGGGUGGCGAAUACGGGUUAUUCUGGAUCUGUAGUAUGACGGGUUUGGGAAAGAUAGGGCCCAAGGGCGUUAUUGGUGGGGGGUGGGCUGGCGGCUUAGCUGCUUGUGGGGGGGGCGGUGGACUGCCACGGCGGUGACGGGUCGACGGCCGGGGAGCGGGGACGGUGGCACUGGGACUGGGCCCCGGCCCAGACUCCUACGGGCGGCAGCGGUGGGGAAGAUUGCACAGUGGGCGCGAGCCUGAUGCAGCGACGCCGCGUGAGAGAUGGACGCCUUCGGGAUGUAAGCCUCUUUCGCCAGUGAAGCAGGCCUGCUGCUUGUGGGUGGGUUGACGGUAGCUGGAUAAGAAGCGCCGGCUAACUACGUG